UGCAUAUCAAUAAGCGGAGGAAAAGAAACCAACAGGGAUUGCCUUAGUAGCGGCGAGUGAAGCGGCAAAAGCUCAAAUUUGAAAUCUGGUACUUUCAGUGCCCGAGUUGUAAUUUGAAGAAGGUAUCUUUGGGUCUGGCGCUUGUCUAUGUUUCUUGGAACAGAACGUCACAGAGGGUGAGAAUCCCGUGCGAUGAGAUGAUCCAGACCUAUGUAAAGUUCCUUCGACGAGUCGAGUUGUUUGGGAAUGCAGCUCUAAGUGGGUGGUAAAUUCCAUCUAAAGCUAAAUAUUGGCGAGAGACCGAUAGCGAACAAGUACAGUGAUGGAAAGAUGAAAAGAACUUUGAAAAGAGAGUGAAAAAGUACGUGAAAUUGUUGAAAGGGAAGGGCUUGAGAUCAGACUUGGUAUUUUGUAUGUUACUUCUUCGGGGGUGGCCUCUGCAGUUUAUCGGGCCAGCAUCAGUUUGGACGGUAGGACAAUUGCGGUGGAAUGUGGCACGGCCUCGGUUGUGUGUUAUAGCCACUGUCGAUACUGCCAGUCUAGACUGAGGACUGCGGUUUUAUUACCUAGGAUGUUGGCAUAAUGAUCUUAAGUCGCCCGUCUUGAAACACGGACCA
rnacentral:rRNA from 1 species